AUUGAACGCUGGCGGCAGGCCUAACACAUGCAAGUCGAGCGGAGCGGCGGACGGGUGCGUAAUGCCUAGGAAUCUGCCUGGUAGUGGGGGAUAACGUCAGGUAAAGGGCGCUAAUACCGCAUACUAUAAGAUGAGCAUAGGUCGGUUUAGCUAGGUGGUGGGGUAAAGGCCGACCAAGGCUACGAUCCGUAACUGGUCUGAGAGGAUUAUCAGUCACACUGGAACUGAGACACGGUCCAGACUCCUACGUGAGGCAGCAGUGGGGAAUAUUGGACAAUGGGCGAAAGCCUGAUCCAGCCAUGCAGCGUGUGUGAAGAAGGUCUUCGGAUUGUAAAGCACUUUAAGUUGGGAGGCGUUACCAACAGAAUAAGCACCGGCUAACUUCGUGCCAGCAGCCGCGGUAAUUC
rnacentral:rRNA from 1 species